AACGAACGCUGGCGGCAUGCCUAACACAUGCAAGUCGAACGAAGGCUUCGGCCUUAGUGGCGCACGGGUGCGUAACGCGUGGGAACCUGCCCCUCGGUUCGGAAUAACAGUUAGAAAUGACUGCUAAUACCGGAUGAUGACUUCGGUCCGAAGAUUUAUCGCCGAGGGAUGGGCCCGCGUAGGAUUAGCUAGUUGGUGGGGUAAAGGCCUACCAAGGCGACGAUCCUUAGCUGGUCUGAGAGGAUGAUCAGCCACACUGGGACUGAGACACGGCCCAGACUCCUACGGGAGGCAGCAGUGGGGAAUAUUGGACAAUGGGCGAAAGCCUGAUCCAGCAAUGCCGCGUGAGUGAUGAAGGCCUUAGGGUUGUAAAGCUCUUUUACCAGGGAUGAUAAUGACAGUACCUGGAGAAUAAGCUCCGGCUAACUCCGUG
rnacentral:rRNA from 1 species